rnacentral:rRNA from 1 species
GGUUAAGCGACUAAGCGUACACGGUGGAUGCCCUGGCAGUCAGAGGCGAUGAAGGACGUGCUAAUCUGCGAUAAGCGUCGGUAAGGUGAUAUGAACCGUUAUAACCGGCGAUUUCCGAAUGGGGAAACCCAGUGUGUUUCGACACACUAUCAUUAACUGAAUCCAUAGGUUAAUGAGGCGAACCGGGGGAACUGAAACAUCUAAGUACCCCGAGGAAAAGAAAUCAACCGAGAUUCCCCCAGUAGCGGCGAGCGAACGGGGAGGAGCCCAGAGCCUGAAUCAGUGUGUGUGUUAGUGGAAGCGUCUGGAAAGGCGCGCGAUACAGGGUGACAGCCCCGUACACAAAAAUGCACAUGCUGUGAGCUCGAUGAGUAGGGCGGGACACGUGGUAUCCUGUCUGAAUAUGGGGGGACCAUCCUCCAAGGCUAAAUACUCCUGACUGACCGAUAGUGAACCAGUACCGUGAGGGAAAGGCGAAAAGAACCCCGGCGAGGGGAGUGAAAAAGAACCUGAAACCGUGUACGUACAAGCAGUGGGAGCACGCUUAGGCGUGUGACUGCGUACCUUUUGUAUAAUGGGUCAGCGACUUAUAUUCUGUAGCAAGGUUAACCGAAUAGGGGAGCCGAAGGGAAACCGAGUCUUAACUGGGCGUUAAGUUGCAGGGUAUAGACCCGAAACCCGGUGAUCUAGCCAUGGGCAGGUUGAAGGUUGGGUAACACUAACUGGAGGACCGAACCGACUAAUGUUGAAAAAUUAGCGGAUGACUUGUGGCUGGGGGUGAAAGGCCAAUCAAACCGGGAGAUAGCUGGUUCUCCCCGAAAGCUAUUUAGGUAGCGCCUCGUGAAUUCAUCUCCGGGGGUAGAGCACUGUUUCGGCAAGGGGGUCAUCCCGACUUACCAACCCGAUGCAAACUGCGAAUACCGGAGAAUGUUAUCACGGGAGACACACGGCGGGUGCUAACGUCCGUCGUGAAGAGGGAAACAACCCAGACCGCCAGCUAAGGUCCCAAAGUCAUGGUUAAGUGGGAAACGAUGUGGGAAGGCCCAGACAGCCAGGAUGUUGGCUUAGAAGCAGCCAUCAUUUAAAGAAAGCGUAAUAGCUCACUGGUCGAGUCGGCCUGCGCGGAAGAUGUAACGGGGCUAAACCAUGCACCGAAGCUGCGGCAGCGACACUAUGUGUUGUUGGGUAGGGGAGCGUUCUGUAAGCCUGUGAAGGUGUGCUGUGAGGCAUGCUGGAGGUAUCAGAAGUGCGAAUGCUGACAUAAGUAACGAUAAAGCGGGUGAAAAGCCCGCUCGCCGGAAGACCAAGGGUUCCUGUCCAACGUUAAUCGGGGCAGGGUGAGUCGACCCCUAAGGCGAGGCCGAAAGGCGUAGUCGAUGGGAAACAGGUUAAUAUUCCUGUACUUGGUGUUACUGCGAAGGGGGGACGGAGAAGGCUAUGUUGGCCGGGCGACGGUUGUCCCGGUUUAAGCGUGUAGGCUGGUUUUCCAGGCAAAUCCGGAAAAUCAAGGCUGAGGCGUGAUGACGAGGCACUACGGUGCUGAAGCAACAAAUGCCCUGCUUCCAGGAAAAGCCUCUAAGCAUCAGGUAACAUCAAAUCGUACCCCAAACCGACACAGGUGGUCAGGUAGAGAAUACCAAGGCGCUUGAGAGAACUCGGGUGAAGGAACUAGGCAAAAUGGUGCCGUAACUUCGGGAGAAGGCACGCUGAUAUGUAGGUGAAGUCCCUCGCGGAUGGAGCUGAAAUCAGUCGAAGAUACCAGCUGGCUGCAACUGUUUAUUAAAAACACAGCACUGUGCAAACACGAAAGUGGACGUAUACGGUGUGACGCCUGCCCGGUGCCGGAAGGUUAAUUGAUGGGGUUAGCGCAAGCGAAGCUCUUGAUCGAAGCCCCGGUAAACGGCGGCCGUAACUAUAACGGUCCUAAGGUAGCGAAAUUCCUUGUCGGGUAAGUUCCGACCUGCACGAAUGGCGUAAUGAUGGCCAGGCUGUCUCCACCCGAGACUCAGUGAAAUUGAACUCGCUGUGAAGAUGCAGUGUACCCGCGGCAAGACGGAAAGACCCCGUGAACCUUUACUAUAGCUUGACACUGAACAUUGAGCCUUGAUGUGUAGGAUAGGUGGGAGGCUUGGAAGUGUGGACGCCAGUCUGCAUGGAGCCGACCUUGAAAUACCACCCUUUAAUGUUUGAUGUUCUAACGUUGACCCGUAAUCCGGGUUGCGGACAGUGUCUGGUGGGUAGUUUGACUGGGGCGGUCUCCUCCUAAAGAGUAACGGAGGAGCACGAAGGUUGGCUAAUCCUGGUCGGACAUCAGGAGGUUAGUGCAAUGGCAUAAGCCAGCUUGACUGCGAGCGUGACGGCGCGAGCAGGUGCGAAAGCAGGUCAUAGUGAUCCGGUGGUUCUGAAUGGAAGGGCCAUCGCUCAACGGAUAAAAGGUACUCCGGGGAUAACAGGCUGAUACCGCCCAAGAGUUCAUAUCGACGGCGGUGUUUGGCACCUCGAUGUCGGCUCAUCACAUCCUGGGGCUGAAGUAGGUCCCAAGGGUAUGGCUGUUCGCCAUUUAAAGUGGUACGCGAGCUGGGUUUAGAACGUCGUGAGACAGUUCGGUCCCUAUCUGCCGUGGGCGCUGGAGAACUGAGGGGGGCUGCUCCUAGUACGAGAGGACCGGAGUGGACGCAUCACUGGUGUUCGGGUUGUCAUGCCAAUGGCACUGCCCGGUAGCUAAAUGCGGAAGAGAUAAGUGCUGAAAGCAUCUAAGCACGAAACUUGCCCCGAGAUGAGUUCUCCCUGACUCCUUGAGAGUCCUGAAGGAACGUUGAAGACGACGACGUUGAUAGGCCGGGUGUGUAAGCGCAGCGAUGCGUUGAGCUAACCGGUACUAAUGAACCGUGAGGCUUAACCUU